rnacentral:rRNA from 1 species
AUUGAACGCUGGCGGCAGGCCUAACACAUGCAAGUCGAACGGUAACAGGAAGCAGCUUGCUGCUUCGCUGACGAGUGGCGGACGGGUGAGUAAUGUCUGGGAAACUGCCUGAUGGAGGGGGAUAACUACUGGAAACGGUAGCUAAUACCGCAUAACGUCGCAAGACCAAAGAGGGGGACCUUAGGGCCUCUUGCCAUCGGAUGUGCCCAGAUGGGAUUAGCUAGUAGGUGGGGUAACGGCUCACCUAGGCGACGAUCCCUAGCUGGUCUGAGAGGAUGACCAGCCACACGGGAACUGAGACACGGUCCAGACUCCUACGGGAGGCAGCAGUGGGGAAUAUUGCACAAUGGGCGCAAGCCUGAUGCAGCCAUGCCGCGUGUAUGAAGAAGGCCUUCGGGUUGUAAAGUACUUUCAGCGGGGAGGAAGGGAGUAAAGUUAAUACCUUUGCUCAUUGACGUUACCCGCAGAAGAGGCACCGGCUAACUCCGUG